UGUCUGGUGAUGAACAUGCAUAGGGCAGAUUAUGAGCUGAGAGGCCCAGCCUCUCAUCACUGAUCCUCCAGUUAUGCAACCUGAAGACA